rnacentral:rRNA from 1 species
CAUAGGUUAAUGAGGCGAACCGGGGGAACUGAAACAUCUAAGUACCCCGAGGAAAAGAAAUCAACCGAGAUUCCCCCAGUAGCGGCGAGCGAACGGGGAGCAGCCCAGAGCCUGAAUCAGUGUGUGUGUUAGUGGAAGCGUCUGGAAAGGCGCGCGAUACAGGGUGACAGCCCCGUACACAAAAAUGCACAUGCUGUGAGCUCGAUGAGUAGGGCGGGACACGUGGUAUCCUGUCUGAAUAUGGGGGGACCAUCCUCCAAGGCUAAAUACUCCUGACUGACCGAUAGUGAACCAGUACCGUGAGGGAAAGGCGAAAAGAACCCCGGCGAGGGGAGUGAAAAAGAACCUGAAACCGUGUACGUACAAGCAGUGGGAGCACGCUUAGGCGUGUGACUGCGUACCUUUUGUAUAAUGGGUCAGCGACUUAUAUUCUGUAGCAAGGUUAACCGAAUAGGGGAGCCGAAGGGAAACCGAGUCUUAACUGGGCGUUAAGUUGCAGGGUAUAGACCCGAAACCCGGUGAUCUAGCCAUGGGCAGGUUGAAGGUUGGGUAACACUAACUGGAGGACCGAACCGACUAAUGUUGAAAAAUUAGCGGAUGACUUGUGGCUGGGGGUGAAAGGCCAAUCAAACCGGGAGAUAGCUGGUUCUCCCCGAAAGCUAUUUAGGUAGCGCCUCGUGAAUUCAUCUCCGGGGGUAGAGCACUGUUUCGGCAAGGGGGUCAUCCCGACUUACCAACCCGAUGCAAACUGCGAAUACCGGAGAAUGUUAUCACGGGAGACACACGGCGGGUGCUAACGUCCGUCGUGAAGAGGGAAACAACCCAGACCGCCAGCUAAGGUCCCAAAGUCAUGGUUAAGUGGGAAACGAUGUGGGAAGGCCCAGACAGCCAGGAUGUUGGCUUAGAAGCAGCCAUCAUUUAAAGAAAGCGUAAUAGCUCACUGGUCGAGUCGGCCUGCGCGGAAGAUGUAACGGGGCUAAACCAUGCACCGAAGCUGCGGCAGCGACGCUUAUGCGUUGUUGGGUAGGGGAGCGUUCUGUAAGCCUGUGAAGGUGUGCUGUGAGGCAUGCUGGAGGUAUCAGAAGUGCGAAUGCUGACAUAAGUAACGAUAAAGCGGGUGAAAAGCCCGCUCGCCGGAAGACCAAGGGUUCCUGUCCAACGUUAAUCGGGGCAGGGUGAGUCGACCCCUAAGGCGAGGCCGAAAGGCGUAGUCGAUGGGAAACAGGUUAAUAUUCCUGUACUUGGUGUUACUGCGAAGGGGGGACGGAGAAGGCUAUGUUGGCCGGGCGACGGUUGUCCCGGUUUAAGCGUGUAGGCUGGUUUUCCAGGCAAAUCCGGAAAAUCAAGGCUGAGGCGUGAUGACGAGGCACUACGGUGCUGAAGCAACAAAUGCCCUGCUUCCAGGAAAAGCCUCUAAGCAUCAGGUAACAUCAAAUCGUACCCCAAACCGACACAGGUGGUCAGGUAGAGAAUACCAAGGCGCUUGAGAGAACUCGGGUGAAGGAACUAGGCAAAAUGGUGCCGUAACUUCGGGAGAAGGCACGCUGAUAUGUAGGUGAAGUCCCUUGCGGAUGGAGCUGAAAUCAGUCGAAGAUACCAGCUGGCUGCAACUGUUUAUUAAAAACACAGCACUGUGCAAACACGAAAGUGGACGUAUACGGUGUGACGCCUGCCCGGUGCCGGAAGGUUAAUUGAUGGGGUUAGCGCAAGCGAAGCUCUUGAUCGAAGCC